AACGCACCUUGCGCUCCUUGGUAUUCCGAGGAGCAUGCCUGUUUGAGUGUCAUGAAAUUAUCAACUGCCUUAAUGGGCUUUUGCUCCCAAAAGGGUGAAGUUGGAUUUGGAGGAUGAUUUUGCUGGCGGCUCUUUGACGAGCUUUGUCGGCUCCUCUGGAAUGCAUGAGCCUUCCUUUUGCACUGGUGAAGCGACUUUCCGAUGUGAUAACCAUCUCCGUCGGACGCCGCGUUCGCUUUUGGGCAUGAACGGAUUGCUAAACGUGGCUUGCAUCUUUCAGGAUGCGUGUCCUUGACAAAUUCGACCUCAAAUCAGGUAGGACUACCCGCUGAACUUAA
rnacentral:misc_RNA from 1 species